rnacentral:miRNA from 14 species
GGUUUCUCUGUGUAGCCUUGGCUGUCCUGGAACUCACUCUGUAGACAAUGCUGGUCUCAAACUCAAAAGUUUACCUGCCUCUGCCUCCUGAAUGCUGGGACUAAAGGCAUGUAUCACCAUUGCCC